rnacentral:rRNA from 1 species
UACGUAGGGGGCAAGCGUUGUCCGGAUUUAUUGGGCGUAAAGAGCGUGUAGGCGGCUAGAUAGGUCCGUUGUGAAAACUCGAGGCUCAACCUCGAGACGUCGAUGGAAACCAUCUGGCUAGAGUCCGGAAGAGGAGAGUGGAAUUCCUGGUGUAGCGGUGAAAUGCGCAGAUAUCAGGAAGAACACCCGUGGCGAAGGCGGCGACCUGGGUCGACACUGACGCUGAGGCGCGAAAGCGUGGGGAGCAAACAGG